rnacentral:rRNA from 1 species
CCUACGGGUGGCAGCAGUGAGGAAUAUUGGUCAAUGGACGAGAGUCUGAACCAGCCAAGUAGCGUGAAGGAUGACUGCCCUAUGGGUUGUAAACUUCUUUUAUAUGGGAAUAAAAUGUUCCACGUGUGGGAUUUUGUAUGUACCAUAUGAAUAAGGAUCGGCUAACUCCGUGCCAGCAGCCGCGGUAAUACGGAGGAUCCGAUCGUUAUCCGGAUUUAUUGGGUUUAAAGGGAGCGUAGGUGGAUUGUUAAGUAAGUUGUGAAAGUUUGCGGCUCAACCGUAAAAUUGCAGUUGAAACUGGCAGUCUUGAGUACAGUAGAGGUGGGCGGAAGUCGUGGUGUAGCGGUGAAAUGCUUAGAUAUCACGAAGAACUCCGAUUGCGAAGGCAGUUCACUGGACUGCAACUGACACUGAGGCUCGAAAGUGUGGGUAUCAAACAGGAUUAGAUACCCGUGUAGUC